rnacentral:misc_RNA from 1 species
UUAAGUUCAGCGGGUAUCCCUACCUGAUCCGAGGUCAAUCUAAAAAGAGGCCUUGAUGGACGCUACCGACCGAGCCCGCCAGAGCGCUGAUUCUGCUGCGCUGGGAGCUAGCCGGGAGCCGCCAAUGAUUUUAAGGCGAGUCCACGCGCGAUAGCGCGGACAGACGCCCAACACCAAGCAGUGCUUGAGGGUGUAAAUGA